GGGCCGUUAGCUCAAUUGGUAGAGCAACUGACUCUUAAUCAGUAGGUUGAGGGUUCGAUUCCCCCACGGCUCACGA
rnacentral:tRNA from 1 species